UACGAAGGGGGCUAGCGUUGCUCGGAAUCACUGGGCGUAAAGCGCACGUAGGCGGAUUGUUAAGUCAGGGUGAAAUCCUGGAGCUCAACGUCCAGAACUGCCUUUGAUACUGGCGAUCUUGAGUCCGGGAGAGGUGAGUGGAACUGCGAGUGUAGAGGUGAAAUUCGUAGAUAUUCGCAAAGACACCAGUGGCGAAGGCGGCUCACUGGCCCGGUACUGACGCUGACGGUGCGAAAGCGUGGGAGCAACAGGA
rnacentral:rRNA from 1 species